rnacentral:rRNA from 1 species
CUUAACACAUGCAAGUCGAGCGAUGAAGCACCUUCGGGUGUGAAUUAGCGGCGAACGGGUGAGGAACACGUGAAGAAUCUGCCUUCAACUCUGGGAUAACUCCGGGAAACCGGGGCUAAUACCGGAUAUGAGCCUUGAUCGCAUGAUCGGGGCUGGAAAGUUUUUCGGUUGAAGAUGACUUCGCGGCCUAUCAGCUUGUUGGUGAGGUAAUGGCUCACCAAGGCGACGACGGGUAGCCGGCCUGAGAGGGCGACCGGCCACACUGGGACUGAGACACGGCCCAGACUCCUACGGGAGGCAGCAGUGGGGAAUAUUGGGCAAUGGAGGAAACUCUGACCCAGCGACGCCGCGUGAGGGAUGAAGGCCUUCGGGUUGUAAACCUCUUUCAGUAGGGAAGAAGCGAAAGUGACGGUACCUACAGAAGAAGCACCGGCUAACUAUGUGCCAGCAGCCGCGGUAAUACAUAGGGUGCAAGCGUUGUCCGGAAUUAUUGGGCGUAAAGAGCUCGUAGGUGGUUUGAUACGUCGGGUGUGAAAUUCAGGGGCUCAACCCCUGACCUGCAUUCGAUACGGUCAAGCUAGAGUUUGGUAGGGGAGACUGAAAUUCCUGGUGUAGCGGUGGAAUGCGCAGAUAUCAGGAGGAACACCGAUGGCGAAGGCAGGUCUCUGGGCCAAUACUGACACUGAGGAGCGAAAGCGUGGGGAGCGAACAGGAUUAGAUACCCUGGUAGUCCACGCCGUAAACGGUGGGCGCUAGUUGUGCGAACCUUCCACGGUUUGUGCGACGCAGCUAACGCAUUAAGCGCCCCGCCUGGGGAGUACGAUCGCAAGAUUAAAACUCAAAGGAAUUGACGG